rnacentral:rRNA from 1 species
UACGUAGGGUGCGAGCGUUAAUCGGAAUUACUGGGCGUAAAGCGUGCGCAGGCGGUCUGUUAAGACCGAUGUGAAAUCCCCGGGCUUAACCUGGGAACUGCAUUGGUGACUGGCAGGCUUUGAGUGUGGCAGAGGGAGGUAGAAUUCCACGUGUAGCAGUGAAAUGCGUAGGGAUGUGGAGGAAUACCGAUGGCGAAGGCAGCCUCCUGGGCCAACACUGACGCUCAUGCACGAAAGCGUGGGGAGCAAACAGG